rnacentral:rRNA from 1 species
UACGUAGGGACCAAGCGUUGUUCGGAUUUACUGGGCGUAAAGGGCGCGUAGGCGGCGUGACAAGUCACUUGUGAAAUCUCCGGGCUUAACUCGGAACGGUCAAGUGAUACUGUCGUGCUAGAGUGCAGAAGGGGCAAUCGGAAUUCUUGGUGUAGCGGUGAAAUGCGUAGAUAUCAAGAGGAACACCUGAGGUGAAGACGGGUUGCUGGGCUGACACUGACGCUGAGGCGCGAAAGCGUGGGGAGCGAACAGG